rnacentral:piRNA from 1 species
UUCCAGUAUUUGGAGCUGGCAAUACGUUG